AGGACUAACGCUGGCGGCGUGCCUAACACAUGCAAGUCGAACGAAGUAGCAAUACUUAGUGGCAGACGGGUGAGUAACACGUAGUCAACCUGCCCUUCAAUGGGGGAUAACUAGCCGAAAGGUUAGCUAAUACCGCAUACGAUCUCUGAGUGGCAUCACUCGGCGAUGAAAGGAGUAAUCCGUUGAAGGAGGGGACUGCGUCCCAUUAGUUAGUUGGUGGGGUAAUGGCCUACCAAGACUCCGAUGGGUAGCUGGCUUGAGAGAGCGACCAGCCACACUGGAACUGAGACACGGUCCAGACUCCUACGGGAGGCAGCAGUGAGGAAUUUUCCGCAAUGGGGGAAACCCUGACGGAGCGACGCCGCGUGUGGGAAGAAGGCCUUCGGUCGUAAACCACUGUCGAGGGGACGAUAUUGACGGUACCCCUGGAGGAAGCCCGGCGUAACUACGCGCCAGCAGCCGC
rnacentral:rRNA from 1 species